rnacentral:rRNA from 1 species
AUGAACGCUGGCGGCGUGCUUAACCCAUGCAGGUCGAACGGUGAAGCAGAGCUUGCUCUGUGGAUCAGUGGCGAACGGGUGAGUAACACGUGAGCAACCUGCCCCUGACUCUGGGAUAAGCGCUGGAAACGGCGUCUAAUACUGGAUAUGAGCUGCGACCGCAUGGUCAGCAGUUGGAAAGACUUUUCGGUCUGGGAUGGGCUCACGGCCUAUCAGCUUGUUGGUGAGGUAAUGGCUCACCAAGGCGUCGACGGGUAGCCGGCCUGAGAGGGUGACCGGCCACACUGGGACUGAGACACGGCCCAGACUCCUACGGGAGGCAGCAGUGGGGAAUAUUGCACAAUGGGCGAAAGCCUGAUGCAGCAACGCCGCGUGAGGGAUGACGGCCUUCGGGUUGUAAACCUCUUUUAGCAGGGAAGAAGCGAAAGUGACGGUACCUGCAGAAAAAGCGCCGGCUAACUACGUG